rnacentral:rRNA from 1 species
GACGAACGCUGGCGGCGUGCCUAAUACAUGCAAGUAGAACGCACAGUUUAUACCGUAGCUUGCUACACCAUAAACUGUGAGUUGCGAACGGGUGAGUAACGCGUAGGUAACCUGCCUGGUAGCGGGGGAUAACUAUUGGAAACGAUAGCUAAUACCGCAUAAUAUUGAUUAUUGCAUGAUAAUUGAUUGAAAGAUGCUAUUGCAUCACUACCAGAUGGACCUGCGUUGUAUUAGCUAGUAGGUGAGGUAACGGCUCACCUAGGCGACGAUACAUAGCCGACCUGAGGGGGUGAUCGGCCACACUGAGACUGAGACACGGCCCAGACUCCUACGGGAGGCAGCAGUAGGGAAUCUUCGGCAAUGGACGAAAGUCUGACCGAGCAACGCCGCGUGAGUGAAGAAGGUUUUCGGAUCGUAGCUCUGUUGUAAGAGAAGAACGGGUGUGAGAGUGGAAAGUUCACACUGUGACGGUAUCUUACCAGAAAGGGACGGCUAACUACGUG